rnacentral:rRNA from 1 species
UACGAGGGGGGCAAGCGUUGUUCGGAAUUAUUGGGCGUAAAGGGUGCGUAGGCGGUCUGGUAAGUCAUCUGUGAAAUCUAUGGGCUCAACCCAUAGUCUGCAGGCGAAACUGUCGGGCUUGAGUAUGGGAGAGGUGAGUGGAAUUUCCGGUGUAGCGGUGAAAUGCGUAGAUAUCGGAAGGAACACCUGUGGCGAAAGCGGCUCCCUGGACCAUUACUGACGCUGAUGCACGAAAGCUAGGGGAGCAAACAGG